AUACAAUUCUGAUCGGUACGACAGUAAAUCUUCAGCAGUUCGUCAUGACGGGAGCAGAUGUUCUCCUGUAGCUGUGUGGAGGCUUUGACCAGCUUGUGCUUCUUUAGUGCAGGGACACUAUAGUGAGGCUGUAGGUGAGUCUUGCAGGAAGACACCAGACACACCAGACAGGACAUGAGGGCUUUCUGCUUUCUAGUCCCAGUGCAGAAAUCACAUGCCACAUCUCCAGGUCCAGCAUAGACCAGAUCAGGGGGAUCAGCCUGAAGUCCUGUCUUCUUCAGUUUCUCCACCACUUCAGCCAACAUGUUAUUCUUUCUCAGAGCAGGCCUUGGAGUGAAGGCCUGUCUGCACUGAGGACAGCUGUAGAUCCCCUUCA